rnacentral:rRNA from 1 species
GAUGAACGCUGGCGGCGUGCUUAAUACAUGCAAGUCGAGCGAACAGACGAGGAGCCUGCUCCUCUGACGUUAGCGGCGGACGGGUGAGUAACACGUGGAUAACCUACCUAUAAGACUGGGAUAACUUCGGGAAACCGGAGCUAAUACCGGAUAAUAUAUUGAACCGCAUGGUUCAAUAGUGAAAGACGGUUUUGCUGUCACUUAUAGAUGGAUCCGCGCCGCAUUAGCUAGUUGGUAAGGUAACGGCUUACCAAGGCAACGAUGCGUAGCCGACCUGAGAGGGUGAUCGGCCACACUGGAACUGAGACACGGUCCAGACUCCUACGGGAGGCAGCAGUAGGGAAUCUUCCGCAAUGGGCGAAAGCCUGACGGAGCAACGCCGCGUGAGUGAUGAAGGUCUUCGGAUCGUAAAACUCUGUUAUUAGGGAAGAACAAAUGUGUAAGUAACUAUGCACGUCUUGACGGUACCUAAUCAGAAAGCCACGGCUAACUACGUG